AAAUACAAUCAUCCACAUCUACCGCUCCGACAAUCAACUGAUAAUAUCAAUUAUAAUACACAAAUCACAACUUUGGUCUUUUUCAUUUCCAGAUGGAUACUGCCGGAAAAGCGAAAAAAGGUGCCGGCGGUAGGAAGGUUGGCGGCCAAUCGAAGAAGCCGGUUUCCCGGUCCGUCAAAGCCGGUCUUCAAUUCCCGGUCGGUAGAAUUGGUCGUUACCUGAAGAAGGGUCGUUAUUUAUUUGGCUGCUGUUCUUGAAUAUUUGGCCGCUGAAGUGUUGGAAUUGGCUGGGAAUGCAGCGCGUGACAACAAGAAGAACAGAAUUAUUCCAAGGCACGUUCUGUUGGCUGUGAGGAACGAUGAAGAGCUAGGGAAGCUUCUUGCCGGUGUGACCAUUGCUCAUGGCGGUGUGCUUCCCAAUAUCAACCCGAUUUUGUUGCCUAAGAAAACUGGUGCUGAAAAGGCACCGAAAUCUCCAGCUAAGGCCACAAAAUCUCCCAGGAAAGCUGCAGCCUAGAAUUUGUUUUUAGUGACUGUUGAAACUGAAUUUUAUUUUGUAUGUAAUUCUGGUCCUAGAUCUAGUUCUUUUGUUAGUUGAGGGAAUUUGAGAAGAAUAUUGUUGUAAUUCUGAACUUCGUGUCAGUUGUUCCUCAUAAUCAAAUCAAUGAAACCCCUUGUUUCUAUC